rnacentral:rRNA from 1 species
GACGAACGCUGGCGGCGUGCCUAAUACAUGCACGUAGGACGCAGUGGCCAACGGGUGAGUAACGCGUCGUUAACUACCUAUUAGACGGGGAUAACUAUUGGAAACGAUAGCUAAUACCGCAUACUAGUAGAUGGAGCUGAGUUGUAUUAGCUAGUAUGUGGGGUAAUGGCCUAUCUCGUCAACGAUACAUAGCCGACCUGAGAGGGUGCUCGGCCACACUGGGACUUUGACACGGCCCAGAGCCCCUCGGGAGGCAGCAGUAGGGGUUCGUUGGCAAAGGGGCGAACCCGUACCGAGCAACUCAGCGUGAGUGAAGAAGGUUUUAGGAUCCUAAAGCUCUGUUGUUUAGGAAGCGGUACCUAACCAGAAAGGGACGGCUAACUACGUGCCAGCAGCCGCGGUAAUAC